GGGNNAUGNCCUGCNGUCGACGAUUCCUACGGGAGGCAGCAGUGGGGAAUCUUGCGCAAUGGGCGAAAGCCUGACGCAGCAACGCCGCGUGCGGGAAGACGGCCUUCGGGUUGUAAACCCCUUUCAGGAGGGACGAAGCGAAAGUGACGGUACCUCCAGAAGAAGCCCCGGCCAACUACGUGCCAGCAGCCGCGGUAAUACGUAGGGGGCGAGCGUUGUCCGGAUUUAUUGGGUUUAAAGGGUGCGUAGGCGGAUUAUUAAGUCAGUGGUGAAAGUUUGCGGCUCAACCGUAAAAGUGCCAUUGAUACUGGUAGUCUUGAGUACAGUAGAGGUAGGCGGAAUUUAUGGUGUAGCGGUGAAAUGCAUAGAUACCAUAAAGAACACCGAUAGCGAAGGCAGCUUACUAUACUGAGACUGACGCUGAGGCACGAAAGCGUGGGGAGCGAACAGGAUUAGAUACCCUGGUAGUCCACGCUGUAAACAAUGAAGACUCGCUGUUGGCGAUACACAGCCAGUGGCCAAGCGAAAGCGUUAAGUCUUCCACCUGGGGAGUACGAUCGCAAGAUUGAAACUCAAAUGAAUUGACGG
rnacentral:rRNA from 1 species